UGUUCUGUGGCUUAGUUGGUCAAUGCGACGGCCUAAUGGAUACGGAAUCGUGGGUUCGAAUCCCAUCAGAACGC
rnacentral:tRNA from 1 species